rnacentral:rRNA from 1 species
AAAACUACACUUGGUAACGGAUAUCUCGGCUCUCGCAUCGAUGAAGAACAUAGCGAAAUGCGAUACUUGGUGUGAAUUGCAGAAUCCCUUGAACCAUCGAGUUUUUGAACACAAGUUGCGAGGGCACGCUUGCUUGGGCGUCACA